rnacentral:rRNA from 1 species
GACGAACGCUGGCGGCGUGCUUAACACAUGCAAGUCGAGCGGUAAGGCCCUUUCGGGGGUACACGAGCGGCGAACGGGUGAGUAACACGUGGGUGACCUGCCCUCAGCUCUGGGAUAAGCCUGGGAAACCGGGUCUAAUACUGGAUAUGACUCCAUGACGCAUGUUGUGGGGUGGAAAGCCUUGUGCGGCUGAGGAUGGGCCCGCGGCCUAUCAGCUUGUUGGUGGGGUAAGGCCCACCAAGGCUUCGAUCGGUAGCCGGCCUGAGAGGGCGGACGGCCACACUGGGACUGAGACACGGCCCAGACUCCUACGGGAGGCAGCAGUGGGGAAUUUUUCGCAAUGGGGGAAACCCUGACGAAGCAACGCCGCGUGGAGGAUGAAGGCCU